rnacentral:rRNA from 1 species
GAUGAACGCUGGCGGCGUGCCUAAUACAUGCAAGUCGAGCGAACAGACGAGGAGCUUGCUCCUCUGACGUUAGCGGCGGACGGGUGAGUAACACGUGGAUAACCUACCUAUAAGACUGGGAUAACUUCGGGAAACCGGAGCUAAUACCGGAUAAUAUAUUGAACCGCAUGGUUCAAUAGUGAAAGACGGUUUUGCUGUCACUUAUAGAUGGAUCCGCGCCGCAUUAGCUAGUUGGUAAGGUAACGGCUUACCAAGGCAACGAUGCGUAGCCGACCUGAGAGGGUGAUCGGCCACAAUGGAACUGAGACACGGUCCAGACUCCUACGGGAGGAAGCAGUAGGGAAUCUUCCGCAAUGGGCGAAAGCUUGACGGAGCAACGCCGCGUGAGUGAUGAAGGUCUUCGGAUCGUAAAACUCUGUUAUUAGGGAAGAACAAAUGUGUAAGUAACUAUGCACGUCUUGACAGUACCUAAUCAGAAAGCCACGGCUAACUACGUG